rnacentral:rRNA from 1 species
GACGAACGCUGGCGGCGUGCCUAAUACAUGCAAGUAGAACGCUGAAGGAGGAGCUUGCUUCUCUGGAUGAGUUGCGAACGGGUGAGUAUCGCGUAGGUAACCUGCCUGGUAGCGGGGGAUAACUAUUGGAAACGAUAGCUAAUACCGCAUAAUAGUAGAUGUUGCAUGACAUUUGCUUAAAAGGUGCAAUUGCAUCACUACCAGAUGGACCUGCGUUGUAUUAGCUAGUUGGUGGGGUAACGGCUCACCAAGGCGACGAUACAUAGCCGACCUGGGAGGGUGAUCGGCCACACUGGGACUGAGACACGGCCCAGACUCCUACGGGAGGCAGCAGUAGGGAAUCUUCGGCAAUGGACGGAAGUCUGAACGAGCAACGCCGCGUGAGGGAAGAAGGGUUUCGGAUCGUAAAGCUCUGUUGUAAGAGAAGAACGAGUGUGAGAGUGGAAAGUUCACACUGUGACGGUAUCUUACCAGAAAGGGACGGCUAACUACGUG